UUUAUUUGCGCAGCAUAGGUGGGAGGCAUUGAGUUUAUUCUUGCGGGAAUUUAGGAGCCAUCAGUGAGAUACCACUCUGGUAAUGUUAGAUUUCUAACUUUGUAUCAUGAUCUGGUCAAAGAACAGUUUCAGGCGGGCAGUUUGACUGGGGCGGUCGCCUCCCAAAUGGUAACGGAGGCGUACAAAGGUUUCCUCUGAACGUGUAGAAAUCGUAUCUAGAGUGUAAAGGCAUAAGGAAGCUUGACUGUGAGACCUACAAGUCGAGCAGGGACGAAAGUCGGUCUUAGUGAUCUGACGGUGCUGAGUGGAAAGGCCGUCACUCAACGGAUAAAAGUUACUCUAGGGAUAACAGGCUGAA
rnacentral:rRNA from 1 species